rnacentral:misc_RNA from 1 species
GGAAGUAAAAGCGUAACAAGGUUUCCGUAGGUGAACCUGCGGAAGGAUCAUUAAGUAAUUUGAUAUACUUCGGUAUAUUCUCUUUUACUGUGAACUGUAUUAUUGCAUGACGCUUGAGGGAUGUCUAUAGAUCAUAUGGGUAGGUCUAGAGAAUGUUAACCGAGUCAUGAUCAAGCUUAGGCUUGUUGCCCUAUUAUUAUUUACCGAAAGAAUUCAGUAUUAAUAUUGUAACAUAGACGUAAAAAAUCUAUAAAACAACUUUUAACAACGGAUCUCUUGGUUCUC